AUACAAUCAAAUCAUGUCUCCAUUUAUCCGGCGGCGGCGAAAAGUCUCCGAUGGAAGUAUAAACAUCAACCAAAUCCCCAAUUAACUACCAUACCUCCUUAUCCUCCAUCGGCGAACACGCAGUCAACCACCGUACGUCACACGACGGAGACAGGGCGAAUGAGUAGUGGUUUAAAGUUCAUCGUCGUCGUGUUCGUUAUCGUCGGGGUUUUGGAUAGAGUCGCCGUCGUAAAUGGCAGCCAGUUCAAGGGGGAUUACUCCAAGUUAUCGGGGAUUAUAAUACCAGGUUUUGCGUCAACUCAGCUUAGAGCCUGGUCUAUUUUGGAUUGCCCUUACUCACCUCUUGAUUUCAAUCCCCUCGAUUUGGUUUGGCUCGACACGACUAAAUGUCUUUCUGCAAUGAAUUGCUGGCUUAAGUGCAUGAUGCUGGAUCCUUACAAUCAAACAGAUAACCCCGAGUGCAGGUCCCGCCCAGAUAGUGGCCUUUCAGCCAUCACUGAGCUUGACCCAGGUUAUAUAACAGGCCCUCUUUCAUCAGUGUGGAAAGAAUGGAUAAAAUGGUGCAUUGAAUUUGGGAUUGAGGCAAAUGCUAUUCUUGCUGUCCCAUAUGACUGGAGACUGUCACCAUCAAAGCUUGAGGAGCGGGACUUGUACUUCCACAAGCUAAAACUUACCUUUGAAACAGCUCUUAAACAUCGUGGUGGUCCAUCCAUAGUAUUUGCCCAUUCACUGGGUAACAAUGUUUUCCGGUACUUCUUGGAGUGGUUGAAACUAGAAAUUGCCCCCAAAAAUUACAUCCGAUGGCUAGAUGAUCAUAUUCAUGCCUACUUUGCUGUUGGGUCUCCUCUUCUUGGUUCAGUUCAGACGGUAGAAGCAACACUUUCUGGAUCCACGUUUGGUCUUCCUGUACCUGAGGGGACAGCCCGAUUGAUGUUCAAUUCAUUUGGCUCUUCACUAUGGAUGUCACCUUUUUCAGAAUAUUGUCGGACUGAAAAUGUGUACUCAAAGCAUUUUUCUGGUGGGCGCAGAAAGAAACACAAUGUAUAUCACUGUGAUGACAUUGAAUAUCGGUCGAACUUUUCUGGAUUCCCAACUAACAUAAUCAAUAUUGAGAUCCCUUCAGUUGUAGCAGAAGCUUAUCCAUCCUUCGGAGAUGAAGUACAGGCCAACUUGUCUAACAUGGAAUGUGGGAUCCCUACUCAGUUAUCCUUUUCUGCUCGAGAAAUAGCAGACGGGACAUUUUUCAAAGCGAUAGAGGAUUACGAUCCAGAUAGCAAAAGGCUUCUCUACCAAUUAGACAAGUUGUAUCAUGGCGAUCCCGUUUUAAAUCCUUUGACCCCUUGGGAGAGACCACCUCUGAAGAACAUCUUUUGUAUAUAUGGCGUAGAUUCAAGAACUGAGGUCGGUUACUAUUUUGCACCAAGCGGCAAGCCUUACCCUGACAACUGGAUUAUGACUGAUGUUGUAUACGAGUUUGAAGGAUCUUUGUAUACUAGAUCAGGGAAUUUGGUUGAAGGGAAUCCUGGAUCUGCGAGUGGUGAUGAGACGGUACCAUAUCGUUCUCUUUCCUAUUGCAAGAGUUGGCUGGGACCAAAAGUUAAUAUAACAAGAACUCCUCAGUCAGAGCAUGAUGGGUUGGAUGUGCAAAUGCAUUUGGAUGUAGAACACCAUCCUGGGGCCGACAUAAUUCCCAACAUGACAAGGUCACCUCGUGUUAAGUAUAUAACAUAUUAUGAGGAUUCUGAAAGCCUUCCGGGACAAAGGACAGCAGUAUGGGAAAUUGAUAAAGCAAAUCACAGGAACAUUGUGAGGUCCCCAAUUCUCAUGCGGGAGCUAUGGCUCGAGAUGUGGCAUGAUAUUCACCCUGAUAAGAAAUCAAAGUUUGUUACCAAAGCAAAGCGUGGGCCCUUGAGGGAUGAAGACUGUUACUGGGAUUAUGGGAAAGCUCGUUGUGCAUGGUCCGAGUAUUGUGAAUACAGGUAUGUUUUCGGAGAUGUUCACUUGGGUCAAAGUUGCAGGGUCAAAAGCUCUUCAGCUGAUCUCCUUCUGAAUUAUGUGUAAAAGCCAUGAGAACACGGCAUAUAUGCCAUUUCUCUUCCAUCUCGAGCAUUUUGCCUUUCCUUUUGCUAUUCAGUUGGAGCCAAAUGGUGUUUUUGCAGUACAGUUUAAGAUGCCCUUACACUUUACAGUAAAGGAAUUGGUGCAUACAUCUUACCAUCCUCAUACCCUACUUCAAGACUCACUCUCCAUAGAAAUGCAAAGAUGGUCCGGUUUCGUUCGAUGGUGAUGAUGGGUCUAUCGUGUUUAUAUUGAUCCUGGAAUUAAACACGAUAAUCCCAUCGAUGAUCAAAGUGUACCCACACAUAGGGGAUCGAUGAGCAUCAAGGGAGAAGGGUUGUUGUUUUGAAGCAUUCUACAGCCAUUAGUGAUUCAAAGUAUGUAGUAGAUGUAUCAUUCAUCAUGUUGAACAAAUAGACAUAAGGCCAAUGUCAGCCAAAAAAAACAUUCACUCUUUAAUGUUUGGUUAAUUUUCUUUAGAACAAAUGCCAUGAAAGUU